rnacentral:rRNA from 1 species
UGACCGAGCAACGCCGCGUGAGUGAAGAAGGUUUUCGGAUCGUAAAACUCUGUUGUUAGAGAAGAACAAGGAUGAGAGUAAAACGUUCAUCCCUUGACGGUAUCUAACCAGAAAGCCACGGCUAACUACGUGCCAGCAGCCGCGGUAAUACGUAGGUGGCAAGCGUUGUCCGGAUUUAUUGGGCGUAAAGCGAGCGCAGGCGGUUUCUUAAGUCUGAUGUGAAAGCCCCCGGCUCAACCGGGGAGGGUCAUUGGAAACUGGGAAACUUGAGUGCAGAAGAGGAGAGUGGAAUUCCAUGUGUAGCGGUGAAAUGCGUAGAUAUAUGGAGGAACACCAGUGG